UUUUUUUUGUUAUUGUGCUGGAAAAUGGUAUGCAUUUAGGGAUGAACAUUCAGUUGGUGGAGUCUGAGAUUCUCUGACGCAUAAAUUAACUGAAUUUCUUAAGUAUAUUUGAUGAACCAGUUGGGCUUUCAGUUUUACACCCCAAUAUAAUUGACAAGAUAAAAUUUAUGUAAAAUUAUUGAGUAAUUUUAGAUAAUACAUUCACUCAAUUUGGUUUUAAAUUCCAGAAACUGAAUGAAAAUCAAAAUUUUGAAAAUCCUAAUCAAAAUCAUUUAACCAAAAUGCAUAUGUUCUGUUAGGUAAUUUGGUUUAACUGAAUAUUAUCCACCACUAAAAGUGUCAUUCCAGUGUAUUAUUGUUUGCUUCCAUUGAUAUUACUAACCCAUUGAAUAUAAAGUUUACUUCUAAUGCUCUCAGCUAAACCCUUUUAUUUGAUCAUAUUUCUGAAGGAGCAUAAGGGGAUUAAUCAGGACUGUAGUCAAUCAAAUGGCUUGGAGAGUUAAGCGUCUAUCUAUUCCAGCUAAAAGAUGGGAAAACAUACAACUCUAAAUGUGCAAAGAUAUUUUGGUGAAUAAUUAAAAUUUCUGAAUUUUAAUUUUUCCAAUGAUAUCUGCAAGUACAAAAUUAGAAGGGUAUGGGAAUUAUGGUGGGGGUUGGUUGUGUGAUGGGCAUGGUAACACUUGCACAUUAAUUGGUAGUAUGCAUGAUCAACAAUGUUCCUUUCUCAAUUAUUUGGCCUAUGGUUUAUAAUUUUCAAAAUCAUGGAGAAAAUUUUCAUUAGUUGAUUGAUUUCUCAUAAUUCAAUUAAAUUUGAAGGCAUUUAUGGAUUCUGUUAAUUAUAAAAAUUACUGUUAUAUAUGUAUUUAUAAUAAUAAUUUUCUUCCUUGUACUGUAAUUUGAUGUCAUAUAUGCAUUGACAUUUGCAUGGACACUACAAUGUUGAGGUUGAAACAUAAGUAAUUAGAGGCAAGAGUCAACAGAGUCUGUGUGUGAUCAUAAUUGAAUCCUCCUUUUAUAUGCCCUCCACUAUUAAAAAUGCUGCAAACUCUUCUUACAAGUAACAGCAUACGUUUUUAAUCUCUUGAUUCCAUUGUUUAAUAUUCUAUUCCUAAUUUACAAUUGUAUAGGCCCCAUUUGGUUCACUAAAAACUGACUCAGUGAUGGUAACGAAUGGAAAUGAUUCCCUCUGUGGGUGCUUGGAAACUCUUUUUUUCAUUUCCAUUCUCACCGGGAAUUCAAUUCCCACAACUAAGGGAGUCACAGUUCUCCAUUUCAACCAAAGAAUCAAACACAGGAAUAAGAAUGAUUAUCUUGUUAAAGGCUGAAUACUUAAUCUUACCCAUGUUCUUU
rnacentral:misc_RNA from 1 species